AAUGCAUCUUAAUUGAAGAAUUUUUUGAUAUUUUUACUGAAAACAAGACAACAAUACAAAGUAAGUCAUUUUUUGCAGUGUGACUCCAUUGAAUGUUCUUGUGUGUUAAAGAAAGUCUCUCUUUUUGUGUGUGGUGUUGUGUGAUGUAGAUUAAAUAUGACCGGGCCAAAACGGACAUGGCAGCAGGUCAAAAUCAAAAUCUGCAGAAUGCAGUGAAAAAGAAUACCCAGAGACAAGGCACGGGUGGUGGGUCACCAAAAGCUGACCUCACCCCAGCAGAGGCCAGCUUUGGAGCUAAAUAAUGGCAGGCCUGUUGGAGGGGAUCCCUGGGGGAAAAGAGACAAGCAUAGGUCCCUCACAAGAUGCCACCCGCUUCAUACAAGUUAUGUUCUUCCAUCUCUACAUGGGACACAAUCACAUUCAUAUUGAAUCUAUUUGGACUGUUUGACUUUGGUUUGCCUAUUGCCUUGUAGUGUCUGGCAGCACUGUGUUACUGUUAAAGCCACCAGCACGAGCACCUGACGAUGCUGAUCCAGACCCAGAGUCAUUGGUGCACUGGACUGCACAAACAUAAGGAUAAAAGCCCCCUCAGGUGCCCAUGAGGCAGAUUUUGUAAAUAUGAAAUCUUUUUACAGCAUUAAUGUUCAGGUGAACAUAACUUUUUGAUCUUUUCCAUUGAACACUGGC